rnacentral:Y_RNA from 1 species
GGCUGGUCUGAGGGUAGUGACUUAUCUCACUUGAUUGUUCACAGUUAUAGAUCAAACUUCUUGUUCUACUGUUUCCCCUCUUCUCACUACUGUACUUGACUGUCUUUG